GCCUCUGGGGCCAGAGGGACAAGGGACAGUUCCAGUUGUGUCCUCUGAGCCUUCGGAAUUGUUUUGGAAUCCAGCGUUUCCAGAAUGUUCCGUCAGCUACGUUUCACUCCCAAGGCGAGAAUGACACGAUGGGCUCGGGCGUGUGCAGAUGGUGCUGUUGAUACUCUGUCGGGGAGGCAGCCGGGCAGCUCUGGCCAGAGCAGACCACAUCAAAGCCGCCUUUGUGACUUGCCGUUCAGAUCUGCAGGUCCUUGCCCCACACUGCGACCGCGUCACCUCCGGCGCAAGCGCCACGAGAGCUCCAAGGCGGACGAGCUGGGAGCACGUUCCCACGUCUCGGGUUUAUCCUGGAGAGCCUUGCUGUGAAGACAGCCCCCGUCUCGUGGACAGCGGGCUUCGGCGGGUCCUUCGGGGAUCUGUGAUCGAGGAGACCGGGGGGGCGGGGCUUACCGACACGGCUGCCCGACGGUUUCUCAAGCUGUGAUGCUGUCGCAGUUCCCGUGCUGUCACCUGCACCCACAGCCACGGUCGGCGUCCGCCUCCAGCCCCGAGCUCGGCCGUGACACACAGGUGGUCCGAGGUCCCUGUUCAGAUCAGCUGUCCAGGGCUGUUUCCUGUGGGUCCUGACCAUCAGGGCACCUUCUUCUUCUCCAGCGAAGCCAGCGCUGGCCGCCAGGAUGGUGACAGCGAACCACCACUCCGUUCUCAUGUGUCAGGCCUUGGCUUCAGUCCUUGACUCAAACUGAGUCUUGACGACCGCCGUAUGAGGUUUAGGGAUUUUGCUGUCCCUCCCACUUUAUGGAGGAGAAACAGAGGCGAGAGAGGUCACACAGCGUCCUUGUGUUCACAAGACUAAGCAACGGUAGAAUGGCAAGGUGAUGCCAGCUCUGAUAAACCCAAACCUGGCACCUGCCUUUCUGGUGCCCGUGCCUCUGCCACGCCUCCCCGGGGUGGCGCUGGAGAUCGACCUGAGACCGGGAAGUUCUCGCAAGCACCUUGCGGACUGACCGCGUGCUGGAGAGCCUGUUGACUCCUCGGUUCAACCUUCAGCGGUUCCUUCCUGGCUGCAUCUUGAAUGAGAUAGAUAUUGGAGGCAACACAGUGAGCGUAAGCCAAGAUACUUUGGACUCAGCCUCAGCUUGGACCCUGGCUUUGUCGCUCAUGAGCUGUGUGACCUCAGUGAGUGUCCUCACUGGUAAAAUGGGCACUACACCCAUAGGGUCGUCAUGAGGAAUAAUUGAGAAAAAGCCCCUAAAACACCCCGGUGCGCAAAAAUGGUGGCUAGACCUUUGGUGCCGCCCAGGGACACGCGCGGUGCUCCCACCCUCUGAGACAACAGUCGGGGGAGAACAGGGGACCAAGGAGCUCAUGACACCCUCCUGCUCUGAGACGGUGUCCUACACUCACCCUUUCCACUUUACAGCCACCCGGGCAGUUGUCCGAGCCGACAAAGAGCCCCUCACUUUGUCAGAGGAGAAAAUCAGAUGUUAUCUCUGACUGACCCGAGACACCGAGGUGGAAGCGAGGAAGGAAGGAAGAUGUGGAGAGACUGCCCCCCUUGCUGAUAAGCAGUCUUGCAAAGAAGGCCGGGUGGGUGACCCGUGGCCCCGUGGGGCACGUCGGGCAGUCGGGGAUCGAGGGGAGCCGACCAUCUUGUCAGGGUGUCGGGAUUCUGGAGCCACCAGCCCUGUUACAACCAGUACGGUCGACGCCAAUGUUGUCCUUUCUCAACCAUUAAAGCUAACUCCCUCCUUAAAAAAAAAUUUAAAUAAAAGGGGGUCGCCUGGGUGGCUCAGUCGGUUAAGCGUCCGACUUCGG